CCUACGGGAGGCUGCAGUAGGGAAUUUUUCACAAUGGGCGAAAGCCUGAUGGAGCAACGCCGCGUGCAGGAUGACGGCCCUCGGGUUGUAAACUGCUUUUAUAAGCGAGAAAUAUGAUGGUAACUUAUGAAUAAGGAUCGACUAACUACGUGCCAGCAGCCGCGGUCAUACGUAGGAUCCGAGCAUUAUCCGGAGUGACUGGGUGUAAAGAGUUGCGUAGGUGGGAUAAUAAGUAGCUAGUGGAAUCUGUUGGCUCAACCAUUCAAACUAUUAGCUAAACUGUUAAGCUCGAGACCGUUAGGGGUAACUGGAAUUUCUAGUGUAGGAGUGAAAUGCGUAGAUAUUAGAAGGAACACCAAUAGCGAAGGCAGGUUACUGGGACGGUACUGACACUGAGGCACGAAAGCGUAGGGAGCAAACGGGAUUAGAUACCCCAGUAGUC
rnacentral:rRNA from 1 species